AAUAGGUAUGCUUAGGGAGGAGCUUGCGUCACAUUAGUUAGUUGGUGGGGUAAAGGCCUACCAAGACUAUGAUGUGUAGCCGGGCUGAGAGGUUGAACGGCCACAUUGGGACUGAGACACGGCCCAAACUCCUACGGGAGGCAGCAGUAGGGAAUUUUCGGCAAUGGAGGAAACUCUGACCGAGCAACGCCGCGUGAACGAUGAAGUAUUUCGGUACGUAAAGUUCUUUUAUUAGGGAAGAAUAAAUGAUGGAAAAAUCAUUCUGACGGUACCUAAUGAAUAAGCCCCGGCUAACUAUGUGCCAGCAGCCGCGGUAAUACAUAGGGGGCAAGCGUUAUCCGGAAUUAUUGGGCGUAAAGGGUGCGUAGGCGGUUAAAUAAGUUUAUGGUCUAAGUGCAAUGCUCAACAUUGUGAUGCUAUAAAAACUGUUUAGCUAGAGUAAGAUAGAGGCAAGUGGAAUUCCAUGUGUAGUGGUAAAAUGCGUAAAUAUAUGGAGGAACACCAGUAGCGAAGGCGGCUUGCUGGGUCUUUACUGACGCUGAGGCACGAAAGCGUGGGGAGCAAACAGGAUUAGAUACCCUGGUAGUCCACGCCGUAAACGAUGAGUACUAAACGUUGGGUAAAACCAGUGUUGAAGUUAACACAUUAAGUACUCCGCCUGAGUAGUACGUACGCAAGUAUGAAACUUAAAGGAAUUGACGGGACUCCGCACAAGCGGUGGAUCAUGUUGUUUAAUUCGAAGGUACCCGAAAAACCUCACCAGGUCUUGACAUGCUUCUGCAAAGCUGUAGAAACACAGUGGAGGUUAUCAGUUGCACAGGUGGUGCAUGGUUGUCGUCAGCUCGUGUCGUGAGAUGUUGGGUUAAGUCCCGCAACGAGCGCAACCCUUAUUGUUAGUUACCAGCACGUAAUGGUGGGGACUUUAGCAAGACUGCCAGUGAUAAAUUGGAGGAAGGUGGGGACGACGUCAAAUCAUCAUGCCCCUUAUGACCUGGGCUACAAACGUGAUACAAUGGCUGUUACAAAGGGUAGCUGAAGCGCAAGUUUUUGGCGAAUCUCAAAAAAACAGUCUCAGUUCGGAUUGAAGUCUGCAACUCGACUUCAUGAAG
rnacentral:rRNA from 1 species